GAAACACAACCUUUCCUCUUCGAGCUUUCUCUCUGUUCUACACAACUGAGAUUCAUUCCUGCAACUGAAUCUUCAUCUACGUUUCAGGCAAUUUCACAACAUCUAUGAAGGAGAUGAAGAUUCAGAUCAAUUUUUCUCCCCUUCUAUGGUUAGGUAUGCAAAUUUCCGUUUGAUUCGUGUCAUCUGAAAUUCUAGGGUUUUAUAAAUUUAGUAAAUUUAAGGUUUGAUUUGUUCUUCUCUUCUACAAUUAGGUACGAAUUUAUCGUGUAAUCGUACUGAUUCACUCUUAGGUUAGUUUUUUCCAUAGAUCAUAAGAAUCAAUACAUACCAAAUUGAUUUGAUUCUUUAUCAAUUUCAAUUAAGAGAAGCUUGAAUCAACAUAACCCUAACUAAGAAUGAUGAAUCAGAUCUUUAUGUUAAUUUCGCUUAAACAUCUCUUAUGUAUUUACGAUUUUGGUUACUGUAUGAAUUUUUUUGUAACUUUAAAAAAUUACAAUAAUGUCUAAGAUUGAAAAAGAAUCCAACAAGUUUUUCAAGGAGUUGUUAGAGAUGUUGCAUGAAGAAUCUUCAACUAUGAAAAGAGGAGAUAUAAAUCGUUUUCUUUAUCUUUUCCCAACUCUACUACCAGAAGUUGCAUAUUUUUCACAUUAAAAUGUUGUGUAUCACAUUGCAAAACGUCUCCAAGCAUACAUCUUACAGAGGAGAUAAGAGGUAACAUCUAUCUUUCAUGCUUAUAUUUCGCGCCGAUGCUUAUGAUGUUCAAUGGAUUCUCUGAAUUUCCUUUUCAUGAUAUCUCAACUUUCAAUUCCAAUAUUCUAUAAGCAGAAAAAUAAAUACCUUCAUCCUUCCUAGGUUGGCUUGCUAGGAUCUAUUCUGUGUUGGCUUUUGCGUGUACCUUACUUGCGUGCCUAUUGUUCAAAAGUUGUGAGCUUUAAACUCAGUGGUGAAGCAAGAACGAAAACAGGACGAGCAGAGGAAACUAGCAAGUACGGUAUUUAGGAUGAAGAUGGGAAACUAGAGAGGGUGCGGUGAUUUUUAAGUUGCCGAGGUUGGUUAGUGCGAAAGGGUAUGGUAGUACUCUUUUGAACUGAAAAACAGACCAAGCAUAUGUUUGUUUGCGUUUCUUCGGAUACAUGAUGCUUCUGGAACCUGCUAUUGUGUUGGUACAAUAGAUUGCAAGUGAGGCUGUUAUGGAAGAGCAAGGGUGGAUAAAUAACCAUUUUAACUCUUUGCAUGUUUUUUACUUGGGGAAUUCAGUUUUAACAUGUUUGUGGCGGUCAGAUUUAUAAAUAGUGGUGAGAUGAAGAAGCUCUCCUUCCUGUAUGUAAUGAGAACUAAUAAUACUAGGGAAUGAACGAUGAGUACCUAUAUAUGAAAUCUUGAUUGAUCAGAGAAUGAAGGCAGACAAACUUUACAGUAGUUUGAUAGCGGUUUUAUUGUUGUAAGAAGAUCAAUGGUCCAUAUUAUGCUUCUAAACUUUAUAGUAGAAUCCCCGUUCCAAACUUUUCCAAGAUCACCAAAUAAAAUAAAUUUGCUUCAGAUUUUUAUUUU